rnacentral:rRNA from 1 species
AUUUUGCGCAAUGGGCGAAAGCCUGACGCAGCAACGCCGCGUGGAGGAUGAAGGUCUUUGGAUUGUAAACUCCUGUCAGCAGGGAAAAAGCGAGCCGGUUUAAUACGCCGGUGAGUUGAUUGUACCUGCAGAGGAAGCCCCGGCUAACUCUGUGCCAGCAGCCGCGGUAAUACAGAGGGGGCGAGCGUUAUUCGGAAUUAUUGGGCGUAAAGGGCGCGUAGGCGGCUUCGCAAGUGGAUGGUGAAAUCCCUCGGCUCAACCGAGGAACUGCCGUCCAAACUGCGUGGCUUGAGUCCGGGAGAGGUGAGUGGAAUUCCCAGUGUAGCGGUGAAAUGCGUAGAUAUUGGGAGGAACACCAGUGGCGAAGGCGGCUCACUGGACCGGAACUGACGCUGAGGCGCGAAAGCGUGGGGAGCAAACGGG